GAUGAACGCUGGCGGCGUGCCUAAUACAUGCAAGUCGAGCGAACGGACGAGAAGCUUGCUUCUCUGAUGUUAGCGGCGGACGGGUGAGUAACACGUGGAUAACCUACCUAUAAGACUGGGAUAACUUCGGGAAACCGUAGCUAAUACCGGAUAAUAUUUUGAGCCGCAUGGUUCAAAAGUGAAAGACGGUCUUGCUGUCACUUAUAGAUGGAUCCGCGCUGCAUUAGCUAGUUGGUAAGGUAACGGCUUACCAAGGCAACGAUGCAUAGCCGACCUGAGAGGGUGAUCGGCCACAGUGAAACUGAGACACGGUCCAGACCCCUACGGGGGGCAGCAGUAGGGAAUCUUCCGCAAUGGGCGAAAGCCUGACGGAGCAACGCCGCGUGAGUGAUGAAGGUCUUCGGAUCGUAAAACUCUGUUAUUAGGGAAGAACAUAUGUGUAAGUAACUGGGCACAUCUUGACGGUACCUAAUCAGAAAGCCACGGCUAACUACG
rnacentral:rRNA from 1 species